rnacentral:tRNA from 1 species
AUUUACAUAGUUUAAAAAAAACAUUACAUUUUCAAUAUAAAGAUAAAAAAAAUUUUGUAAAUU